GACAGAGGUGCCGAGCGUUAGGCGGAAUCACUGGGCUUAAAGCGUGUGUAGGCGGACUUCUAAGUACCUUGUGAAAUCCCACGGCUCAACCGUGGAACUGCUUGGUAUACUGGUCGUCUUGAGCCACCUAGGGGCAACCGGAACAAACGGUGGAGCGGUGAAAUGCGUAGAUAUCGUUUGGAACGCCAAUGGUGAAAACAGGUUGCUGGGGGUGUGCUGACGCUGGGACACGAAAGCCAGGGGAGCAAACGGG
rnacentral:rRNA from 1 species